UCAGAGUAGAGAGAUCUGGAAGUCCACCCUCCUCAGCCUGGGAACUCUGAAGCCACUCUGCCAGCAAUUCCUUCCCUGGGAUGCUAGAGUUGCUGGGCUGCCGCCGCCACUGUUAACUCACCAGUGACUGCUGCAGACCAAAGGCUGAAAACGUCGGCAGGUUACAAGGAUACUAGAGCCCCAAGCUGGGAAAGGCACUUUUGACUUUUAAAAUGACAACACAGGAGGGUGUGGUGACUUGGAUGAGAAUGGCUGCCACAUGCUCAGACAUUUGAAUUUUGGUUCCCCGGUUGGAGGAACUGUUUGGGAAGGGAGGAUUGGGAAGUAUGGCUUUGUUGGAGAAGUGUCACUCAGGGUGGACUUUAUGGUUUCAAAAGCUCAAGCCAUUCCCUGUUAGCUCUCUCUCACAAGUCUGUGCUUUUGGAUUAGAUGUAAAUUCUCAGCUACUGCUCUAGCACCAAGCCAGCCUGCCUGCCUGCCACUAUGUUCCCCACCAUGAAGGCCAUGGGUUCUACUACCUUCCAGAACCACGAAUCUGAAAUUAAAUGUUUUGUUAGUUGCCCUG